CAGAAGGUUACAAUACCUACAACCACUGCGAACCGUUCCUUUUAGCUGCCUCGGCGGGCAAUCCCAGGGCGGGAUUCCAGGCCUCCUUCGGGAGGCGCUCGCCGGCGGUGCGCAACGUAUCUAGCUCUGUCUCUCAGCGGAUUUCUGAGUGAUUUUAAAAAACCUUUAA
rnacentral:misc_RNA from 1 species